rnacentral:rRNA from 1 species
AUUGAACGCUGGCGGCAUGCCUUACACAUGCAAGUCGAACGGCAGCACGGGAGCAAUCCUGGCGGCGAGUGGCGAACGGGUGAGUAAUAUAUCGGAACGUGCCCAGUAAUGGGGGAUAGCCCGGCGAAAGCCGGAUUAAUACCGCAUACGACCUACGGGUGAAAGCAGGGGAGCGCAACACCUUGCGUUAUUGGAGCGGCCGAGAUCAGAUUAGCUAGUUGGUGGGGUAAAAGCCUACCAAGGCGACGAUCGGUAGCUGGUCUGAGAGGACGACCAGCCACACUGGGACUGAGACACGGCCCAGACUCCUACGGGAGGCAGCAGUGGGGAAUUUUGGACAAUGGGCGCAAGCCUGAUCCAGCCAUGCCGCGUGUGGGAAGAAGGCCUUCGGGUUGUAAACCACUUUUGUCAGGGAAGAAACGCUCUGGGCUAAUACCCUGGGGUAAUGACGGUACCUGAAGAAUAAGCACCGGCUAACUACGUGCCAGCAGCCGCCGUAACAC